rnacentral:rRNA from 1 species
AGAGUUUGAUCCUGGCUCAGAGUCAACGCUGGCGGCGUGCCUAACACAUGCAAGUCGAACGCGACUUGGGCUUCGGCCUAAGUUGAGUGGCGAACGGGUGAGUAACACGUGGGUGACCUACCUUCGAGUGGGGGAUAACGUCCCGGAAGGGACGCUAAUACCGCAUAACAUCCUGCCUUUGAACAGGUGGAGAUCAAAGCCGGGGAUCGCAAGACCUGGCGCUUGAUGAGGGGCCCGCGCCUGAUUAGCUAGUUGGUGGGGUAAUGGCUCACCAAGGCGACGAUCAGUAUCCGGCCUGAGAGGGCGGACGGACACACUGGGACUGAGACACGGCCCAGACUCCUACGGGAGGCAGCAGUGGGGAAUUGUUCGCAAUGGGCGCAAGCCUGACGACGCAACGCCGCGUGGAGGAUGAAGGUCUUCGGAUUGUAAACUCCUGUUGCUCGGGACGAAAAGCUCCGACCUAACACGUCGGAGUCUGACGGUACCGAGUGAGGAAGCCCCGGCUAACUCUGUGCCAGCCGCCGCGGUAAUAC